AACGAACGCUGGCGGCAUGCCUAACACAUGCAAGUCGAACGAGACCUUCGGGUCUAGUGGCGCACGGGUGCGUAAAGCGUGGGAACCUGCCCUUAGGUUCGGAAUAACUCCCCGAAAGGGGUGCUAAUACCGGAUAAUGUCUUCGGACCCAAGAUUUAUCGCCUUUGGAUGGGCCCGCGUUGGUUUAGCUGGUUGGUAGGGUAAAAGCCUACCAAGGCGACGAUCCAUAGCUGGUCUGAGAGGAUGAUCAGCCACACUGGGACUGAGACACGGCCCAGACUCCUACGCGAGGCAGCAGUGGGGAAUAUUGGACAAUGGGCGAAAGCCUGAUCCAGCAAUGCCGCGUGAGUGAUGAAGGCCUUAGGGUUGUAAAGCUCUUUUACCCGGGAUGAUAAUGACAGUACCGGGAGAAUAAGCUCCGGCUAACUCCGUG
rnacentral:rRNA from 1 species